rnacentral:rRNA from 1 species
GAUUAAGUUAUUAAGGGCGCACGGUGGAUGCCUUGGCACUAGAAGCCGAUGAAGGACGUUACUAACGACGAUAUGCUUUGGGGAGCUGUAAGUAAGCUUUGAUCCAGAGAUUUCCGAAUGGGGAAACCCAGCAUGAGUUAUGUCAUGUUAUCGAUAUGUGAAUACAUAGCAUAUCAGAAGGCACACCCGGAGAACUGAAACAUCUUAGUACCCGGAGGAAGAGAAAGAAAAUUCGAUUCCCUUAGUAGCGGCGAGCGAAACGGGAAGAGCCCAAACCAACAAGCUUGCUUGUUGGGGUUGUAGGACACUCUAUACGGAGUUACAAAGGACGACAUUAGACGAAUCAUCUGGAAAGAUGAAUCAAAGAAGGUAAUAAUCCUGUAGUCGAAAAUGUUGUCUCUCUUGAGUGGAUCCUGAGUACGACGGAGCACGUGAAAUUCCGUCGGAAUCUGGGAGGACCAUCUCCUAAGGCUAAAUACUCUCUAGUGACCGAUAGUGAACCAGUACCGUGAGGGAAAGGUGAAAAGCACCCCGGAAGGGGAGUGAAAUAGAACCUGAAACCGUGUGCUUACAAGUAGUCAGAGCCCGUUAAUGGGUGAUGGCGUGCCUUUUGUAGAAUGAACCGGCGAGUUACGAUUUGAUGCAAGGUUAAGCAGUAAAUGUGGAGCCGUAGCGAAAGCGAGUCUGAAUAGGGCGUUUAGUAUUUGGUCGUAGACCCGAAACCAGGUGAUCUACCCUUGGUCAGGUUGAAGUUCAGGUAACACUGAAUGGAGGACCGAACCGACUUACGUUGAAAAGUGAGCGGAUGAACUGAGGGUAGCGGAGAAAUUCCAAUCGAACCUGGAGAUAGCUGGUUCUCUCCGAAAUAGCUUUAGGGCUAGCCUCAAGUGAUGAUUAUUGGAGGUAGAGCACUGUUUGGACGAGGGGCCCCUCUCGGGUUACCGAAUUCAGACAAACUCCGAAUGCCAAUUAAUUUAACUUGGGAGUCAGAACAUGGGUGAUAAGGUCCGUGUUCGAAAGGGAAACAGCCCAGACCACCAGCUAAGGUCCCAAAAUAUAUGUUAAGUGGAAAAGGAUGUGGCGUUGCCCAGACAACUAGGAUGUUGGCUUAGAAGCAGCCAUCAUUUAAAGAGUGCGUAAUAGCUCACUAGUCGAGUGACACUGCGCCGAAAAUGUACCGGGGCUAAACAUAUUACCGAAGCUGUGGAUUGUCCUUUGGACAAUGGUAGGAGAGCGUUCUAAGGGCGUUGAAGCAUGAUCGUAAGGACAUGUGGAGCGCUUAGAAGUGAGAAUGCCGGUGUGAGUAGCGAAAGACGGGUGAGAAUCCCGUCCACCGAUUGACUAAGGUUUCCAGAGGAAGGCUCGUCCGCUCUGGGUUAGUCGGGUCCUAAGCUGAGGCCGACAGGCGUAGGCGAUGGAUAACAGGUUGAUAUUCCUGUACCACCUAUAAUCGUUUUAAUCGAUGGGGGGACGCAGUAGGAUAGGCGAAGCGUGCGAUUGGAUUGCACGUCUAAGCAGUAAGGCUGAGUAUUAGGCAAAUCCGGUACUCGUUAAGGCUGAGCUGUGAUGGGGAGAAGACAUUGUGUCUUCGAGUCGUUGAUUUCACACUGCCGAGAAAAGCCUCUAGAUAGAAAAUAGGUGCCCGUACCGCAAACCGACACAGGUAGUCAAGAUGAGAAUUCUAAGGUGAGCGAGCGAACUCUCGUUAAGGAACUCGGCAAAAUGACCCCGUAACUUCGGGAGAAGGGGUGCUCUUUAGGGUUAACGCCCAGAAGAGCCGCAGUGAAUAGGCCCAAGCGACUGUUUAUCAAAAACACAGGUCUCUGCUAAACCGUAAGGUGAUGUAUAGGGGCUGACGCCUGCCCGGUGCUGGAAGGUUAAGAGGAGUGGUUAGCUUCUGCGAAGCUACGAAUCGAAGCCCCAGUAAACGGCGGCCGUAACUAUAACGGUCCUAAGGUAGCGAAAUUCCUUGUGGGUAAGUUCCGACCCGCACGAAAGGCGUAACGAUUUGGGCACUGUCUCAACGAGAGACUCGGUGAAAUCAUAGUACCUGUGAAGAUGCAGGUUACCCGCGACAGGACGGAAAGACCCCGUGGAGCUUUACUGUAGCCUGAUAUUGAAAUUCGGCACAGCUUGUACAGGAUAGGUAGGAGCCUUUGAAACGUGAGCGCUAGCUUACGUGGAGGCGCUGGUGGGAUACUACCCUAGCUGUGUUGGCUUUCUAACCCGCACCACUUAUCGUGGUGGGAGACAGUGUCAGGCGGGCAGUUUGACUGGGGCGGUCGCCUCCUAAAAGGUAACGGAGGCGCUCAAAGGUUCCCUCAGAAUGGUUGGAAAUCAUUCAUAGAGUGUAAAGGCAUAAGGGAGCUUGACUGCGAGACCUACAAGUCGAGCAGGGUCGAAAGACGGACUUAGUGAUCCGGUGGUUCCGCAUGGAAGGGCCAUCGCUCAACGGAUAAAAGCUACCCCGGGGAUAACAGGCUUAUCUCCCCCAAGAGUUCACAUCGACGGGGAGGUUUGGCACCUCGAUGUCGGCUCAUCGCAUCCUGGGGCUGUAGUCGGUCCCAAGGGUUGGGCUGUUCGCCCAUUAAAGCGGUACGCGAGCUGGGUUCAGAACGUCGUGAGACAGUUCGGUCCCUAUCCGUCGUGGGCGUAGGAAAUUUGAGAGGAGCUGUCCUUAGUACGAGAGGACCGGGAUGGACAUACCUCUGGUGUACCAGUUGUCGUGCCAACGGCAUAGCUGGGUAGCUAUGUGUGGACGGGAUAAGUGCUGAAAGCAUCUAAGCAUGAAGCCCCCCUCAAGAUGAGAUUUCCCAACUUCGGUUAUAAGAUCCCUCAAAGAUGAUGAGGUUAAUAGGUUCGAGGUGGAAGCAUGGUGACAUGUGGAGCUGACGAAUACUAAUCGAUCGAAGACUUAAUCAA